rnacentral:rRNA from 1 species
UGAUCUGGCUCAGAUUGAACGCUGGCGGGAUGCUUUACACGUGCAAGUCGAACGGCAGCGGACUUCGGUCUGGUGGCGAGUGGCGAACGGGUGAGUAAUGUAUCGGAACGUGCCCUAGUAGCGGGGGAUAACUACGCGAAAGCGUAGCUAAUACCACGCCGCCUUCGGGGAAAGCGGGACCUUCGGGCUCGGCACUAUUGAAACGGCCGAUAUCGGAUUAGCUAGUUGGUGGGGUAACGGCUCACCAGGCGACGAUCCGUAGCUGGUUUGAGAGGGCGACCAGCCACGCUGGGACUGAGACACGGCCCAGACUCCUGCGGGAGGCAGCAGGUGGGGAAUUUGGACAAUGGGGAAACCUGAUCCAGCCAUCCCGCGUGUGCGAUGAAGGCCUUCGGGUUGUAAAGCACUUUUGGCAGGAAAGAAACGGCACGGGAUAAUACCCCGUGCAACUGACAGUACCUGCAGAAUAAGCACCACGGCUAACUACGUGCCAGCAGCCGCGGUAAUACGUAGGUGCAAGCGUUAAUCAGGAUACUGGGCGUAAAGCGUGCGCAGGCGGUUCGGAAAGAAGAUGUGAAAUCCCAGGCUUAACCUGGAACUGCAUUUUUAACUACCGAGCUAGAGUGUGUCAGAGGAGGUGGAAUUCCGCGUGUAGCAGUGAAAUGCGUAGAUAUACGGAGGAACGCGAUGGCGAAGGCAGCCUCCUGGGAUAACACUGACGCUCAUGCACGAAAGCGUGGGCAAACCAGGAUUGAAUACCCUGGUAGUCCGCCACAAAGCGAUGUCAACUAGCUGUUGGGGCCUUCGGGCCUUGGUAGCGCAACUAACGCGUGAAGUUGACCGCCUGGGGAAGUACGGUCGCAAGAUUAAAACUCAAAAGGAAUUGACGGGGACCCGCACAAGCGGUGGAUGAUGUGGAUUAAUUCGAUGCAACGCGAAGAGCCUUACCUACCCUUGACAUGUGGAAUCCCGAAGAGAUUUGGGAGUGCUCGCAAGAGAACCGGAACACAGGUGCUGCAUGGCUGUCGUCAGCUCGUGUCGUGAGAUGUUGGGUUAAGUCCCGCAACGAGCGCAACCCUUGUCAUUAGGUUGCUACGAAAGGGCACUCUAAUGAGACUGCCGGUGACAAACCGGAGGAAGGUGGGGAUGACGUCAAGUCCUCAUGGCCCUUAUGGGUAGGGCUUCACACGUCAUACAAUGGUCGGGACAGAGGGUCGCCAACCCGCGAGAGAGCCAAUCCCAGAAACCCGAUCGUAGUCCGGAUCGCAGUCUGCAACUCGACUGCGUGAAGUCGGAAUCGCUAGUAAUCGCGGAUCAGCAUGUCGCGGUGAAUACGUUCCCGGGUCUUGUACACACCGCCCGUCACACCAUGGGAGUGGGUUUCACCAGAAGUAGUUAGCCUAACCGUAAGGAGGGCGAUUACCACGGUAGGAUUCAUGACUGGGGUGAGGUCGUAACAAGGUAG